UACGUAGGGUGCAAGCGUUAAUCGGAAUUACUGGGCGUAAAGGGCGCGUAGGCGGCCUGGUAAGUAGGGGGUGAAAUCCUGCGGCUUAACCGCAGGGCUGCCUUCUAAACUGUCAGGCUCGAGCACGGUAGAGGCAGAUGGAAUUCCCGGUGUAGCGGUGGAAUGCGUAGAGAUCGGGAAGAACAUCAGUGGCGAAGGCGGUCUGCUGGGCCGUUGCUGACGCUGAGGCGCGACAGCGUGGGGAGCAAACAGG
rnacentral:rRNA from 1 species